UUUUGGUAGUCUGGUGGUAGUAUGAAAUCAAGAUCAGGAUCAGACAUGCUUUCAAAAGAAUCAUUUCUCUAUACACAGAGGCUAUAUUUUACUGAUAAUCAGGUGAUUUCCACAGAACAUUCUUCCACAGCAUUCUUUACAGUUUGGGAGAAUGAAUGAGCAUGCCAAAGUGGGUGAAGGUGAAGGUAUAGGUCCCAUUUGUGAGAAUUCAUAUGUCAGGGACAACCCUCUCAUCUCCCAGAUAUCCACAAAUGAAAAGUACCUCUUUUAGCAAAUAUGUUUUUUCUAGCAGAAAAGUACCACUUUUAGCAAAUAUGUUUUUUUAGCAAAAAAAAAAAACAGCAACAACUGUUAAAAGUUGUUGUAGCCUCUAUUAACCAGGAUUGGCAGAUGACAUAUUCUGUGGCUUUUUGCAUGUUACAAAUUGCCUUUGGAAGAGUAAAUGUGGUCCCUUCCCAGCUAAUCAUGGCCUGCAGAUUAAUAAAAUACAUAGACUUAUGCACAACAUUAGCUGAUAUGAGCAGGAUCUCAUGAAAUCUCCCAGCUGCCUACUUCUAUCAGGUUUGGAAGACCGUAAAUAUAAUAGUGAUUUGAUAAAAUCAGAGCUGCCGUAACAUGUGGAUUCUAGUGCUUGUGGAUCAACCCUGCUGUAACUUACUCCCUCUGUAGCCUUCCUCCCUUUGGGGCCCAGUUCUGUGCUCCAGAGAUUCAAGGCCCUACUCUGAUCACCUUGGGCUGGACUUCAGCAAUCUCUGAAAAGCAGUCAUGUGAGAAAGCCUGUAGAACACAGGCUUGCAGAAAAUGGAAGUUAAAACUACAGAAACAAAAUUGUUGAGACAGGGAAUGCAGGUAGUUCAGAGAUUCAAGAAAUAAAAUACAAAAAUGGAAAGCUAUAAAAUCCUAAGGGAAACAGCGUGUCAUCAACACAGAGGAUUGUCUCUAGGAAGCCACAGGAGCUGACCCUUCACCUCCAGACUGAUGUCUGUUUGGCCAGGAAAGACACUUUUGGUGCUUUAUCAGGGUGGCUUAACAAGUCCUGAGGAGCCAGCAGAAGAAAUCUCCCUCACAGUACCCUCAUGGCAUGAUACUACGACCCUUCACAAAGCUCGAGAUUUGGAUGAAGCUACUAACGCUGCCAGCAAAGGACCCUGCAAAAGUUUUAAAGAUAAAAAACUUCCAGGGAGCAGAGGGGAAGCCAAACUGAAACUACGCACUGAUAUCAGACAGGUUAAAAAAUAACAGUCAGGUUUCAGGCAGAUUGCAUUUUUCUGUCUUGUUUAAUCUCUGUUGAAGAAGAGAAGGGAGAUUUGUGCCUGAAUUGUUUGCUUUUCUCCUUGUCAUUAUCUAUACAACAUCUUAAAUUCUCCCCUUCCCAAUCUGAGGUGACUUACAGAGGCUCCCUGUCAAACACAGACACUACACAACACCGUAUUAGAUUACACACUUUGUUAGAAAAUUGGCAUUUUAGAUACUAAAUGAUAGCCUAUGCUCUGCAGCCAUGCUGUCAUUCUUGCUCUAAAAUCUUGUCAGAGUCUAUAAAUUAAGCAGCAUUUGGGCCUGGAGUUACAUGAAAGGGAGGGCUGUGGGAAACGGGGUGGCUACUUCAACCUUUCAGACUUAUGUUUAAGGGAAAAUUCUCUCCCAUCUGACACUGGAUGUGAAUAUUAUCCCAGCACUGAACAAGCAGCAUUUUCUCAGACACUUGAGUAACAAAGCGCCACCUAAAUGACCACUUCUACGACCUGAAGGGUCUAUAUAAUGGUUGUUUCCCUUCAUAGAAGCUGCAUCUUACUGUGAUGCUAUGGCACCCAAGCUAUAAGAGAUAUUGCCUAAGCGUGUACUGACUGAAACAACAGCUUUGACGGACCAACUCCACAGUGCAGAAGAUCACUGCUUUGAAAAGAUGAGCCAGCAUUGCUUAGACACAGCACUUGAACUACUGCAGAAAAAAAGGAGGAUAUAUUGAGCUAGCUCACCCCUCUGCUUUCCCAUGUACAUUUUAAAUCCAGGGAAGUAAACUGAGGAAUCCUUACAAUCUAGCCCCUUGUUACUGAGGAGAUGACUCUGUUUGUGACUAUGACAAAAACUCAGCCAGAAAAUAACAUGAAGAACAAUAUCCUGGUGCAGUGUUCCUGGGAUCUCCUGCUACUUUCAAGUGGUGAAUAUCCCACAGCAAUUACACAUAAAACCAAGGAUGAAUAUCUUUUUGUCUGGCAGUCUUUACAGAAGGAAAUAUCUACAUAUUGCCUCCACAACUGUAGAGAGGUUUAUUCCAGGGCCAGGUAGCUGUAACAUAUACAAAAUUCUUUGCUAUCACUAAAAAUGGAGAUGUCCACUUUCCAAGUAACUAGUAGGCCUGCGUGGUGCAGUGGUUUCAGUCAGACAAGAUGUAUGCAAAUGAAUGACUGCAGAAGGCCACCAGUGCUGUGCUCCUUCAAUAUAACAGGAUUCAAAGCAUAGGUAGCUUUGCUGCAGCCAUGCUGCUUCAAGAACAUGAGUGAGGCUAUGUUUGUGUGUGAAUAAAAGCUCAAAAAACACUCA
rnacentral:lncRNA from 1 species